UACAGAGGUGGCAAGCGUUGUUCGGAAUUACUGGGCGUAAAGGGCGCGUAGGCGGUCUUGCAAGUCCUGUGUGAAAUCCCUCGGCUCAACUGAGGAACUGCACAGGAAACUGCUUGGCUUGAGUUCGGGAGAGGGAAGCGGAAUUCCGGGUGUAGCGGUGAAAUGCGUAGAUAUCUGGAGGAACACCGGUGGCGAAGGCGGGUCUCUGGGCCGAUACUGACGCUGAGGAGCGAAAGCGUGGGGAGCGAACAGG
rnacentral:rRNA from 1 species